UAUGUUGUUAGUAGUAAUUUGCAAGCACUUUUAUAAAAGAAUGUAGAUUCUUCUAGAGUUGUGAGUAACUAUCAUUCUCAUAUUUUGGAUGAUAAAGUUAGUAUUUUUACGUGAGAAAUUGAGAGCAACAAUAAUUAUAUUCUUACUUUUCAAAUAGUGAAAGUUCAUUACAAUAUGCGUCUCUCGUUCGAGAAAUAAAAUU
rnacentral:lncRNA from 1 species